GAGUGAAGAGGGACAAGCUCAAAUUUUAAAUCUAUCGGGUUUUACCCGAUCGAGUUGUAAUUUGAAGAAGCGUUUUCUGCGUUUUUGGUCAGCCCAAGUCCUAUUGAAUGAGGCAUCAUGGAGGGUGAUAAUCCCGUCCGGUUGAUCAUUUGCGUUUUACGAUACGCUUUCUAAGAGUCAAGUUGUUUGGGAUUGCAGCUUAAAAUGGGAGGUAAAUUUCUCCUAAGGCUAAAUAUUGGCGAGAGACCGAUAGCGAACAAGUACCGUGAGGGAAAGAUGAAAAGAACUUUGAAAAGAGAGUUAAACAGUACGUGAAAUUGUUGAAAGGGAAACGAUUGAAGCCAGUCGUACCGGCGGGUAAUCAGCCUUUCGGGUAUGAUUCUGUGGAGCGUGAGGAGUUAAACGCCUUCAUGCCUGCUUAUUCGUGCUCUCGGGUGUACUUGCUCGUGUGGUUGGUUAACAUCAAUUUCGGUUAUCAUAAAAUGGUUGGAGGAAUGUAGCUUCGAUUUCGAUUGAAGUGUUAUAGCCUUUGGCAGAUGUGAUGAUCGGGAUUGAGGAUUGCAACGGAUACCCUUCGGGGCUACCUGUCUGAUCUCUGAUCGUUGCUCUGGUGCCGAAAGCUUGCUUACGGUUAUCAAAGUCGAUGGUCAACAGGUUAGAAUGGGUUAAAUUCGUUA
rnacentral:rRNA from 1 species